AAGCUUGUAGCUCAAUGGUCAGAGCAGCCACCAGCCUAUUUACUAGGCUGAUGUGCAUUUUGCGGGUUCGAGUCCCGCCGGGCUUU
rnacentral:tRNA from 1 species